AACUGGGAGGGUAGUGUUGACAGGCUAAA
rnacentral:piRNA from 1 species